UCAACCAUCAAGCUAUGCUUGGAAUUGGAUGUCACCCCCGGCCCCCGGGGGAGCGUCUCAAACCGGUCGGCGGUGGCUUCGGGCCCUAAGCGUUAGUAAUACUUGCCGCUUUUCGGUGUCCUCGUAGUCCGCCCGCCCCGAAAACCCAACACCUCAA
rnacentral:misc_RNA from 1 species